rnacentral:rRNA from 1 species
UACGUAGGGUGCGAGCGUUUAAUCGGAAUUACUGGGCGUAAAGCGUGCGCAGGCGGUUUUGCAAGCCGGAUGUGAAAUCCCCGGGCUCAACCUGGGAAUGGCAUUCGGGACUGCAAGGCUGGAGUGCGGCAGAGGAGACUGGAAUUCCUGGUGUAGCAGUGAAAUGCGUAGAUAUCAGGAGGAAUACCGAUGGCGAAGGCAGGUCUCUGGGCUGACACUGACGCUCAUGCACGAAAGCGUGGGGAGCAACAGG